GAGGCGGUGCAGGGACAAUGGUGCGCUAGGCACGGUCUUUUUUUUUGGAGGAGGACCCACAGACCCUUAAUUCAACCUCCAUCUCUAAGAAACCUCCGGGAGGUGGACGCGAGAGGUUGUCCAGGUCACAUCAAAUCAUGCACCGAGGACACACUCCUAGCUUGAGGGUAUGGUAAGAACCUCCCAAAGUUGGGCGUGCUCAAAAACCGCAGAUACAAAAGGGAAGGAGGGUCGGAGAGUCCCUACCGAUGGAGAUUCCCAGAGCAAGCAGUCUGCAGCAUCACUUGUGUGUCAACACUACUUAAGAACCAAGAAUAAGAAACAGAGGAGAGGCUUUUCUAGAAGGUGGUCUAGUCCCCACUCCACAGUUCUUUUCCCCAGAAGAACUCCAGCCAAAUGAUGGGAAAGACAACGGACAGGCUCACUCUGGAUUCUUGGCUCACAGGACCAAGGUGACCAUGGAUGACAUAAGCCCAAGAAGUUCCUGGGGCUCCGAGGCAGAUGAGCAGGACUGCAUUCAGGGACCUGCUGUGUUUCAUCUUGAGGAAACGUGGUUGGAGCAUUGAGUUUACCUGCGAGUGACGGUGGAGGUGGGAAGUUGGAGAAUAAAGGAAUAAGAAAUGUCAGCAGCAGUAAUAAAUCACCCCUAAAAUUUCAUAGCAUGAUAAAUCUUAA